AAAUGAAAAGGGAGCAAAAACAUUGAAGAAGGAAUUCUGCUUCAAGACUGCAACGCAGAAAUCCUAACAGUUUCUAGCUUGCUGGCCUUCCCUGUGCAUUUCAAACUCAAGACAUCAACUCUUACCUGAAUUUCCUGAUAUAAAUAGGAUUGGAGAAAGUGAAUUGUCCUACUGCUCAUACUUUUCAGGACAGAAGAUCAAGGACCAGUCAUCUUCACUAGUGACCAACUCAGUAACAUCCUGAUACCAGUUUUCCCUUCUUCCCUGAACCUUCACCUCUGCUCCUGAAGAUAGCUUGGAGAAU